rnacentral:rRNA from 1 species
UACAGAGGUGGCAAGCGUUGUUCGGAAUUACUGGGCGUAAAGGGCGCGUAGGCGGUUCGUUAAGUCCUGUGUGAAAUCCCCCGGCUCAACUGGGGAACUGCACAGGAAACUAGCGGGCUUGAGUUCGGGAGAGGGAAGCGGAAUUCCGGGUGUAGCGGUGAAAUGCGUAGAUAUCCGGAGGAACACCGGGGGCGAAGGCGGCUUCCUGGACCGACACUGACGCUGAGGCGCGAAAGCUAGGGGAGCAAACGGG